rnacentral:rRNA from 1 species
AACGAACGCUGGCGGCAUGCCUAACACAUGCAAGUCGAACGAGACCUUCGGGUCUAGUGGCGCACGGGUGCGUAACGCGUGGGAAUCUGCCCUUAGGUUCGGAAUAACAGUUAGAAAUGACUGCUAAUACCGGAUAAUGACUUCGGUCCAAAGAUUUAUCGCCUAAGGAUGAGCCCGCGUAGGAUUAGCUUGUUGGUGAGGUAAAAGCUCACCAAGGCGACGAUCCUUAGCUGGUCUGAGAGGAUGAUCAGCCACACUGGGACUGAGACACGGCCCAGACUCCUACGGGAGGCAGCAGUGGGGAAUAUUGGACAAUGGGCGAAAGCCUGAUCCAGCAAUGCCGCGUGAGUGAUGAAGGCCUUAGGGUUGUAAAGCUCUUUUACCCGGGAUGAUAAUGACAGUACCGGGAGAAUAAGCUCCGGCUAACUCUGUGCCAGCCGCCGCCGUAACAC